ACUAGCAUGCGUGAUCACUGUUUGUAUAUGAUCCAGAUGUCGCUACUAUCGGUUGCAAUCAACGCGUUCGGAGAGACGAGGCCAUUCGAGGUAGCUCGCCAUAAUGAUAAGUUACAUUCAUAUUCAUAUUGAUGAUCUAUGGUGAGAUUCAUCAUAACACAAGUUGGGACUUUGGGUUAACAAUAGAUGCCAGAUUAAACUACUGGCUACGGCUGAAAAUCGCAAGUACUAGAUCAGGUUCAUCCUGUGGCUUAUAAUGAAACCAUAACUAAACCAUAUGAAUGGUAGGCUUGCUCAUAAACUGUCCUGGAUCAGACACUGCGCUUAUAACGGACACCAUCGAAUUUCUGCGCGUGGCUCCUUCCUACAGAAUAUUCUUAUGAAGACAGCACUAAAUUAAAAAUGCUUUCGCACUUACGCUGAUGCACGACUUCCAGUCGUCAUCUUCACCUCCCGGUUGUUUUGCGCAUGCGUCAAUUUGCAGCACGGAGUUGGUAAACUGCUUGUCGAAGUCCAACGAGUCCAAAAACUGCCGAUCAGGAGGUCCGGAGUUCUUCGCCAGCAGGAUUAACCCGCCCUUAGAAAAACCAAAAUUGGGCCGCAGGUUUGCCGGGCCAGGCAUGCGCUUGAUUCCAUGUUCGUCCAAAACAUAGUAUCGUUGUUGAUCGGUCGCGUGGUCAGUAUUGUAACUACAACGCUAUUGCUAUUAGCAGGAUACACGUGCCAUCGCUCCUACUCACCACAAACAGAUGAAUAAAAACGCCAAGAGGACCAACAGAA